CCCUUAGAUGUUCUGGGCGGCCCGCGCACUACAAUGGCGUGUGCAGCGAGUGCCGAAGUAGAGUUUUCCGAGGUAUUCUUGCAAUGCUCGUUUUGAUGGGGAUAGACCCUUGCAACUGUUGGUUUUGAACGAGGAAUUCCUUGUAAGCAUGGUUUAUCACCCGACGCUGAAUGCGUCCCUGCCCUUUGUACACACCGCCCGUCGCUCCUACCGAUGAGUCGUCCGGUGAAGUUCGUAGACCUCGUGAUCGCGGAUCACUGGGGGAAGCAAAAUGAACCUCGCGGUUUAGAGGAAGGAGAAGUCGUAACA
rnacentral:rRNA from 1 species